UAUCUUUGCCGCCUGACGGAAAAACUGUCAAUACAUAAAAAUCAUUAAAAUUAAUAUUGGAAUG
rfam:Salegentibacter mishustinae strain KCTC 12263 contig1, whole genome shotgun sequence.